CCCUGAUCCCCACAAAUACAGUUUGGGAAAGAGCCAGAACAGUGUGAACAGGGACACCAGAGGCUUUUCUGAAAAGCUGCUUGAAUAGGAGCCAAGAGUGUACUGCUGUUAUGAGCAAGGAGAAGUGGAUAAUGGGCUACUGCACACAUUGGGAAGGUGUGGCCAAAAGAUUGGAGGAAUUUAUUAUAACCCUCCACAUGGCUCUGGCAAUAGAUAUUCAGCAAGAACAUUCCAUUGGGACCUGCACCCAGACUGGAAUAGCAAGAGAUAUGGUAGACAAGAUAGA